UUAAUUGAAACCAAAAAGAGGUGUGUCAGUGUUAAUGACAAUAUUGAAUUAAUAUUUCCAAUUAAA
rnacentral:tRNA from 1 species